UCAGUGUUAGUUGAGUGUGCUCUCCUGUGUGUUCCACUGUUUAUCUGGAUUGCUUGUGUUUUGGACUUACCUUCGUCUUCUUUUGGAUUUGUUGUUAACCUCACCACCUCCACCAUCACCAUUAGCCUUUCAUUCUCCUUUUGUUGCAGUAAAUGUCUGGAUUGCUUCAACACAUCCUGCUCCCCUAGCCCCAACUGUAACAAAAAGUUUAGGUGUUUACCAGCUUUAUGUGAUGCCGAGAUUACCUCUGCCAUUGUCCAGCUGCGCGGGUUGGUGAGGCAACCAAGCGUGUCCAUAGAAACACGGUUCAGGGUCCACCAACCACAGCAAGACUGAAAGUAAGACUGACUAAGACUGACACACAGCACUCUCUCGUCUCUGACCCGGUCAGCUCGGCCACAUCGCUCACCUGAACACCAAAGAAUCAUUUCUAGAGCACCACUUGUUUAAGGACAGAUCCAAAGUGAGGCCUCGGCUUAGUUCAGGCUGUGGUCCAUGCAAGAAGAUUGGGACAAAAACAUCUGCUGAAUUAAUGUAAUUCUGAAUAUUUGACAUUCCACACAAGGUUUCUGAUGCAUAGAACAUAUAUAGUUGUUAACUUGAUGAUACAGUAUAACUCUUUGAGUCUCUACAUGAUGAUUAAAACACAGAUUAUAUGAUCAGUGUAUGUAUGUUUGUGAGUUCUUUUAAAUUUUAGGCCAUGAGAGUGAUGUAACUUCUU